AUAAAUAAAUAAACAAACAAAACAACAACAACAACAACAACAAAAAAGCAGUUAAACAUCCUAGGUAAUCUCUAUGCCAGUACUUGGUUGGAAUUAAACUAAGCUAUAAAAGAAAGUUUACAUUUUAUACAUCUCUUUCCCAGGUGAGUCUUGGAAACACUAAAUUGGAUGUUGACAUAUCCACACACCCAGUUAUCACCAGAGAGACAUACAUGAAACCUAAGGGUCCUUAGCAGUGGAAACUCACUACCUGUCCCUCUCUUUCGUAUGAGCCAGCACCCAUCACUGCUACAUGGGAACAGUCCACAUCCACGAGAGCAGCCACAGUUGCCACGGUGAUUAUUCUAAACACAGCAGGUGAUGUAAUUCCCCUUGGGAGUGUGGCAUCAAGCAGAUGAAUUGGGCGCAUUGCAUCUGAUUCAGCCUCUUGAGGAGAAAGACUUCAUACUGAUCCAAAUAGACUCCCGAGAGGCAGAAAGAGGAAAAUGAUAAAUAAAUGCCAGCCAAGCUCUAAAAUGGAACACUCUAGCUGUGUGGCCACUGAAGCGUGAGUGGCUGAAACGAAGAGAAUGGACAUGGAGCCCACCCGGAAGAGCACCCUUAACAUCAUCAUAUCCCUGAAGCACGAGUCGGGGUGGUGGGACUGCCCUGGAAACCCUGCACACAGCUGGCUUGAGCAGUGGGUAUUUUCAUAAGGCAUAUAUGGGCAUCACAGAACACUUGGAGCUUUAAUGAAGACAGCUGCCAUUCUGUGAGCUGUUCUAUGAAGGAGCCCACUUGGCAAGGAACUGGGGGAGGUCUCAGAUUAACAGCCAGCAAGAAACUGAAUCCUGCUAACAACCACCUGAAUGAACAUGAAAGCAGACCCUUCCCCAAUUGAGUCUUCAGAUGAGACCCAGUGCUCACCUGCACCUAGGUUGGAGCCCUAAGAGAAACCUUGAAGCAGAGGAACCAGCUUAACCUGAUCCAUGGAAACUAUAAAAUAAAAUGUGUGUUGUUUAAACUGCUAAAUUUCUGGAAACUUAUUACCCAGCAGUACAUAUCUAGUGUAUAAGGAUUUACCAGAAGAAAAUAAUCAUGGAUGUGUGCAAAGAUCUAAACACAAUGACGUUCACUGCAAAUUUUUUAAUAAUUGAGAACAUUUGGAAACAGUGUAAAUGUCAAUGAAUAUAAGGCUGGAGAAAUCAAUUAUAAUACAGGUGAACCAUAUGAAAUCAUUUUUGCAGGUUAAAAAAGGUCGAAUAGCACUAAUUUUAUGUGUUUCAACCUAAUGCAUUCGUAUGAUAUGGACAUGAAAAUAGUAUUUAUGAAAAAUACAAUAUGGGGGAACAUCAUAAAAUUUCAUGAUAUAUUGUUAAGUGAGAAAAAUGGCUUAUAAAGCAAUGAAAAUAUGAUUGUAAUUUUGUGAGAGAGAUAUACAGAUAUGCAUAGAGAAAAAGACUGCAGAUAUACCAAUAAAAAGUGAAUAAUGUUUACCUUCAAAUUUUAGAAUUUGGGGUGAUUUUUAUAUUCUUUUUUUCUGUACUUCUGACAACAGACUUUUUUUUGUAAUCAAAAAGCAAGAUUAAUUAAUACAAGUCAACAAUGGAAUAAAUUCCUAAGCCAGAACUAAACUCUCUGUUUAGAACACUGUCCCUUGUUGCUCACAAAUCACUCUGCCUGAUUUCCUGGGCUUACAGAAUCCCUGAGAGUGUGUUUAGAGGUGCCCUGUGAUAUCAUCAACAGCUCUACCGGAUUACUUCUUUGCCUUACGGAAAUCUGUUAUCCUCCCUUGUGGGGAGGUUCUUCCCAUCCUGUGUCAUACCCUUGGUUCUUUGAGUUGCUCUCUCCAAAUCCCUUGGUUCCUGACAUUUCAUAAUGCUGGGCAGUAGAGGGGAUUUUGAGGAAAACAUGUGUGCUGAAAGAAUGUGGAAAAUCACUAUGCAUUUUUCUCUCGCAUUUCAGUUACCUCUGCCCUUCUGUUGCUGUUCCGUUUCAUUUGUUACCCAGCUAAUAACCCUAUUAGAAAGCUGAAACGUUCCCCAGCUUAGUCAAGAAUGGCUGAUGGAUUUUCUCUCUCAGACUCCAGAAAUGCCUUGGGACAGCUGCAUGGGUCCCCAGGUAUGGGCCAUUAGCUGGAAGGUCAUCCUCACUGAGAAACCUAUUCCCCUACAUUAGAAUUCGCUCCUACCAGAUUUACCUGGUGCUGUCUGCCUACUGUGUCUCUGACCCUGCCAUGUCUGCAUUUAAUCCAAGGCUCCCAUUACCUGGAGGAGAAGGGGAUCUGUGUGAUGUGAUUUUGGCAUAUUCGGCAAGUUCCAUCACCAUCAAAACAUGUUUUAUCACUGCAGGAAGAAACAAACGUGUAGGAGAAGAGUGAGUUGGUGACUCUCUACAUUUUCUUUCCCUGAGAAAGGUCUUAAAAUACUUCAACUUCAAAGCUAAGUCUAGUUUGUAACAAGAUGGAUUUAGGCCAACCAGAAAGACAAGGAUCACUUCUGUUUGACUCACCAGGCAUCUAUGACAGUCCCUGGCACAGAGAGGGCUCCUAAUGAAUGGUUGUUGAAUGCCUCAGUGGUUGUUGAAUGACUCAUUGGUUGUUGAAUGGAUGACAUGAAAAAUUUCUAGCACAUUAUUAGCUUGGAAUUUUCACCUAUUGGUCCAAAUUCUUAUCUUGGCAAUCACACGGCACAAAACUUCUCUCCUCUGUUUGCUCACAUGCUUGCAUCUUCAUGUCUUCAUCAGGGCUUAGCAUACCCAGCGCCUUCAAUCACUCUUAGAAUAGUAUCAUUUUCCACUCAGUGACAAAGGAGAAAUCACUGUCCUUGUCCUUUGCUUUGAUUAAGGAAAUUAGAGUGGGAAUAAGGGAGCAGGUUCUGGUGGGAGUAUAUGUAAGCCAUGCUUCUCCUUCUUCCUUGAGGGAAUGGGGAUGGUGUAAUGCCUACCCAUCCCUCUCAUGAAAAAAGAUAUUGUGAGUUAUUUCUCACCUUUGCAUAUGGGGCACAGUAUUUUCCCACCUGUGUGCUUUUUGCAGUGGUGGCCUUCUUCGUUGUCCCUUUCUGUCUCUAAGAUCCCUGCUAUUUUCCUGCUCCUUUUUAUGGAGCAAUUCUCACUGUGUGUCCUCACCAUAAUCCCUCCUGCUAUGUUGAAACCCCAGGCAAAGUGUCUAUCAGCUAUAACUUGGCAAGUCCAGUGUUUCUCUCAUCUUGCCUAUAGCCUGGGAUCACCGAUUCAAAUUUAUUUUCCUUCAAGGCCUUUUCUUCCAAAAAGUCUCUCCUGCAUGUGCAGCCCACUGUUGUCUCUCCUCCCGAAUUUGUGGUGCAUUUAUAUCUGGGGACAGCAUGGUACAAUAAACACAGCAUGGACUUUGGAGCCAGGGUGACCCAGGUUCAAAUCCUGGCUCUGGAAUUUGUCCAUUGUAGGUAUGUACAGAUGAGUUGCUGUACUAGUCCAUUUUCAUGCUGCUGAUAAAGAUAUACCUGAGCCUGAGGAAUUUACAAAAGAAAG
rnacentral:lncRNA from 1 species